UCAAAGCUUCCUACAGCAUCCUGGUUUACACUAGGGUCAUCACCAUCUUUACCACUUCCAGUGGCACUACUGCUCAUUGGUAUAACAUUUAACUCCUGGUACCCAAGCUUCUCUUGCCUAUUACUAGAAGAUAAACCAUUAUUAUUAGGUUUGCUGACUUCCCAAAUGCCAUUGCGAUUCUUUCUUAUUCCAAGUUUGAAAGGGGUUGGCCCAUCUGAGUAACCUUCUUGUGUAACUGUUGUUUGCAUUUCCAUCUUGGGUUUAAUCUCAUCAACCAUGGGGAAGAGGCUACCAUCAGGUUUGUGCCAUUGUGAGAGUGCCCCUAAAUCCCUGCGCUCACUCUCAUUUUUGAACUUCCCACGCCAAGAACCAUCAGGUUUCAUUUCAAUCUCAGUCAACUCUUCAUCAAGAUGUCUCAUCUGCCAAGGAAGACGUCUUUAUAAAUUUGCUAGAUUAAUUUAAUAUUAUAAAAAUCAAGAAUUCUAAUAUCGAUGAAAAUGUACCUUUGAUGUGAUUCGGUUAAAAUAAGGGUCCACGAUUAUAUGCUCCAGAGAAUAAUUCUUCAGACAAAUAGGACACUGCCACUGCAUUUUCAAACCACAUAACAAAUAAAAUCAGUCAAAAAUAUGAACAACCUAAUUAUGUAGACUAUGAUAAAAUACCUGCCUUUCUGGAACGUUGAUUCAGCUCCACAAACACCUCAAGGUCAAAACAUCCCAUGUGUAGACAGGGUUUGAAUCUCCCAGCAACUUUCAUCCUAGAACCGCUCAUCUAAUGACAAUCAGAAAUGAGUUAAUAAGGUAAACAACAAACUAAGUGAUUACAACAGCCUAUUGAAAAUGAGCUACAAAUUACUUACAGGACACCGAAGAUUAACACCAAAAAAAUCAGCAACGACCUCAAUAUCACUAUCACUGUCGGCAUUAUCAUUUCCAGCUGCACCUCCAAUGCAUCUACGUACUCGCGCGAGAGCAACUUCAAAAGGUUCGCCUUUAGCCUCCUCUGGAAUCAUAUUUAGGACCUAAAUGAAAAAUAAGAUAGAAUUUAAAGGACUAGCACAAAUAGCUAAUGUUCUGAGCAUUGAGAAACGAUAGAUAUGGUAAUGGAUAAAAACUUUAGCACAUUUUCCCUUGGAAAACAAUUCUCUGAUUUCUACCAACAAGGUGUCAUUUUUGAAUUAAGUAAUGGCUUUAUUUUUUAGUUAAUUGGAUUUUUUUUUUUCAUUUUAUUCAUGCAGUAAAUAUAAGUACCUGUUGCAGACUCCUUAGCUUCACAAGUCUUACACCCAAACAAAAACUGCGGGAGUCACAUCCACUCAGGGAAAUCUUGUUAAUUCCAUCCCUAAUACAAGGUGUAAUCUGCCAAAAUAAUACGAUGUGAGCAUAAUAGAUUACGAAUAGCAAGAGUCUAAUCUUUAAGAUAGCAUAGUCAUAUAUAAAAAUAAAGAAAUGUUGCUGAUCGAUCAAAAACUUACAAUAGGUCCAUCAUCACGGCCAUUGGCCCCAAGAAGCUGUGACCCAGGUCGGUUAAUAGCACGUAAAGGUACACCUAUAGGAUGGCAACGAUUUAACAUGAACCCAUAUCAGCUAGCAAAGAACAUAUAUACCGAGUUUUACAACACCAGGAAAGUUAAUAGAUUUGUAAAGAAAAAUUAUCCCAGUGAUUAAUAUACAUGUAUGAUGGUGUUUGCAACCCAUGUUACUCAUUUUAUUAAGGAGAUGCUGAUAAGACACAAUUAGUGUACAUUCAAAUCUGAACUGUGAAUUUAACUUGCAUACCAUUGACUUGCAGAUCAGCGUAUUGAGGCCAUUGCAUCCUAAACAGAACUUUGUCAUUCAAAAGCAUACACCAAGCCUACAAACAAGGCAGAAUGCACUGCCAAUUAGAAAAUACGCAUUUAUAAAGUUAAAUAUCUACUAGUAAAGCCAAUAACCUGAACAUCGUACUCCUGUUUCACUAAUAAGUCCCUGUCUGUUCUAGUUAUUUGAAAUGUCCUGUCCACACUCUGCAUUGGGUUUGUACUGAAAAAAUUGCAGAGCAUUAAGAGAAACAACAAACAUCAACAUAAAGUUUAAGCAGGGGUUGUGAAUUUGUCUAGGAGACAGCUAUGAUUCUUUUUUUCUAAAUAUUAGGAAGAAGAUAAGUUCAUCUCAAAAGCUAAGUAACUAGGUUUCGCCUCAUCCCUCAAUUGAAAUCUAAAGCUUGAUUCCUAGACAGGAAAAAAAUACGACACAUGCAGCAGUUCCUCAGCUUUCCAUGCUAAGAAGUGCUACCAAUUGUACUUUUAAGAACAGGUGAAAGUACAUAAUCUAUUUAACAAGCAUGAAUAUAAAGUUUGGUAUACAUACCCGUCAGUUGGGAUGUUCGUAGCAGUCAAUCUCACUGGGAACAAUGGAUGUGCCACCGUGAGCCAAAACCUGCACAUUAUAGACCAUGUAAAACAGACACAAAUAAACUAAUAAAUCAUAAUCUGGUUAACCUAUAGAUCACAUUCCAGUUUUGCAACAAAGUUAGCAUUUUCUUCAGUGGUGGACACAUGAACAAAGAAAAACUUCUCUCGUUGAUACUAGAUUGCUUUCGUUAAGCCCAUUUGCACCUACCGUCUCACCAUGAUCACCAAGCCUCAGAGAGAUCCAAUCAUCAUUGUUGACUCCGUUUGACAUCCCAGCCUCAUUUCUAAAAUCCGACUGAGCUGAUGUCUCUGGUCUUGUUGGCAGAAAUAUCUGAAGCGAGGGGUCGUCUCUACUAAAUGCCAUAGGAUUGUCGAAUAGUCCAUCGUUUGCAUCUGCUUCGGAUCUUCCAACUGACUCAGGAACCAUAGGAAUAGACGUACCUGGAGCCAUCGAGUAACCACUAUUUAUUGCAGGGUCACAGUUCAGUGGACCAGGCUGCAAACCGGCUAAACCAUCUGAUACAUCAGCAUCAGAUCCAAAUAGUUGGAACCCCGGGCCUCCUUGGGCAUCUGAAGAUAACUGCCAUAGGCGCAUAUCAUAAUCAUCAUCAUCAUCGUUUGUGAAAAGACCCAAGCCGGAAUUGCCUGCAGCAGCUACCUGGUGAUCUUCAUUAUAGGAGUUAGUGAUACCAACCGGGUGCAAUGGGAAACUUACCCCGCCAUCAGCCUGAUUCUCAUUGUAGGCAGGUCCUGCGGUGAUUACAACAUCAUCUUCUUCGUCGGAAUCACUUAGAACGAUAACGUCGUUAUUACUAGCUGGUGGUGGUUGAUGAUUACUGUCAGGAAAUUUAUAGCCUGAAUCUACAUUCAUGGAGAGAGAGUCAAGUUCCAUUCCGUUGUUUCCAAAAUCAAAGCUUCCUACAGCAUCCUGGUUUACACUAGGGUCAUCACCAUCUUUACCACUUCCAGUGGCACUACUGCUCAUUGGUAUAACAUUUAACUCCUGGUACCCAAGCUUCUCUUGCCUAUUACUAGAAGAUAAACCAUUAUUAUUAGGUUUGCUGACUUCCCAAAUGCCAUUGCGAUUCUUUCUUAUUCCAAGUUUGAAAGGGGUUGGCCCAUCUGAGUAACCUUCUUGUGUAACUGUUGUUUGCAUUUCCAUCUUGGGUUUAAUCUCAUCAACCAUGGGGAAGAGGCUACCAUCA
rnacentral:lncRNA from 1 species